GAUGAAGAACGUAGCGAAAUGCGAUAAGUAAUGUGAAUUGCAGAAUUCAGUGAAUCAUCGAAUCUUUGAACGCACAUUGCGCCCGCCAGUAUUCUGGCGGGCAUGCCUGUUCGAGCGUCAUUACAACCCUCAGGCCCCCGGGCCUGGCGUUGGGGAUCGGCGGAAGCCCCCUGUGGGCACACGCCGUCCCUCAAAUACAGUGGCGGUCCCGCCGCAGCUUCCAUUGCGUAGUAGCUAACACCUCGCAACUGGAGAGCGGCGCGGCCAUGCCGUAAAACACCCAACUUCUGAAUGUUGACCUCGAAUCAGGUAGGAAUACCCGCUGAACUUAAGCAUAUCAAUAAGCCGGAGGA
rnacentral:misc_RNA from 1 species